AUUCUGACCUCCUCUCGCCCCUCCCCCUAACCCCUCCUCCUCGCUGGCUAGACAGGCGGCGGGGUGUACAAAGCUGGGAGGACACAAGGCCCCGUGCAAGGCGCCCAGGACAGUGCCAGCCUUCCUGGGCUCGACCAAGAAACGGAGGAACGGAGAGGUGAAGUGUCUAGUCCAAGUCACAAGACUGGGAAACGUUGGGGCUGCGCACAGAACUCAGGGCUCUCGACUCCCUGGCACCGCGGGGCCUCAGGUGCUCAUUUCACGGGCAAGGAAUGGGGGACCCCAGAGACUGGCAGGCUGGCACUGCCUGAGACUCACUGUAGGACCUUGGACAAGUUACACCUCCCCUGGUUUCCUCGUUCUUAAAUCGAUGGAGUGGACUGCCGUGAUUCCUGAUUUCCCUUGGAAUCCAAGGGGCUAGCUGAGCCCCGAAGGUCUAGGGCCUCGGGGUGGGACUCCACGAGUGGGCGAGGUAGCCGCGGCCUGUGCAGAGAGAAGAAAAGGUUUCCC
rnacentral:lncRNA from 1 species